GAGAAAUAUUCCUGUUUUCCUGUCUCAUACAGCAGAAGCAAUCCUGAUGGAAUCCAUGGAGUAGCAUUAAUAUAAAUUUAAUCUCAGGGAAAAAGCCUAAUGCUGGCUGAUUCUUAUUAGCUGAUGGCACACCCUCCUUUAUAUACUCAAGAAAAAAGUGAACCUUUUGAACAAGAAAAGCAGGAAAUGACUUAUGUGUCCUUAGCCCUUCUUCUUCUGUGGACACUUUCCACCAUGUUGUGAAGCUCCUCUGUUUCCGCAGCUACACAAACAAAGGAAGAUGUGAUAAUUGCAGAGACAUAAAUUAAAACUACUGUGUCUCAUGUCACUUGAAUGUUAAUCUUUCCUAAAAAGGUCCUAGAAAACAACUGCUACUGCAAGUUUAGUAUGCAAAUGAUAGUUAGGAUUUCUACCAAACUCUUUCAGAGAGAGACCACAAACUUGUUAAACCUUCUGUCAUUUCUGAAUUCGGUUUCCUGUUCUAACCACUUUGAAAAUCAAUAUGUGGAAAGUCAGGGUAAUCUUUCUUGCACUCAUUGUGUGGGCUACUCAGUUUCAGAACCAGCUGUUCAUGCAUGGAGUUAAAACCCUGGUAACAUUUGCUCAUCCAAUUCCACAUGUGAAAAAAAAGAGACUUAACUUUAAAGGUUUUGUUGGAGUCAGCUACUCUCCACAGCAGUGUUUCAUGGAAGCUGGGAUUUAAUUCUGUCAGGUGCUGAGAGGUUUUAGCUCCCCUGAGUCAGCGGGCCCAGUAUCUCACAGUGUGUUCUGAAACUGAGAAAUGACACACCUCACUGAAUUGUGAUAAGCUCAUUAAAAUCACUGCUCUACGAAAGCACAAAACUGAGACAUAGUUGAAAGGUAAUGGGUCAGAGGAACUCAGAAUCCCGAAAGAACUCCGACCAAGUUCUUUUCCUCACCCAGGCUUUCUCUGGGCAGAAUUUAUUGAUAAUAAAAGGAAAAUGAAUCAUUAAGUCCCACAGCCCGAGUGUUAUAUUAUUAACUAAUAUAAUAUACUGUCAGGAUUUACAUGGGGACUUUUGAGUUAAACCAUGAGCCACCUGCUGAAAAGCAAAUUUAAGGCUAUAUGCUGGAAAAGAACUUUCUCAUUAAAAUAUAAUCAAGGUUUGUUAGGCAACAAGAAAAGAACCAACCUGAUGUGCUGAAUUAAACUGAGUGGGAACUAAAGAUAUCAGAUAGCUGUGAAGAGUUCUUCAGCUCCCCAUUUUACAGGGUGCAAGCCUUACAUGGGUUUACCAUGGGAAAAACAGACUACAUCUCUUGAGUGCACAAAAUAAGAAGAGCACCUGACCAUGUUUUCUAAGGAUAGUAGGUGCAACAUACACAGUACUUUUUCUUCUGUCAUGACCCUCCUUACCCUUCUCCGUUUGUUUCUGUGAAAAGGAUUUUAAGUGAGCAUGGUCUGACUGCUAGUUGAGUAACAAGAAGGGAUGUGCAGGCAUGUAUUUAUAGCGGGGAGGGAAAGUUAAGAGUCAUCUUCUUGAUGCCCCGUUCAAUAACUAACUUGCUACUGGUCCUUUUGUGUGGAAGUACCCUAAGCUGCCCAGCCUCUCAUUUACACUGCUGUGUGAAUGCUUGGUGGAUGUGUCUAUUCAGGUGUGAAGAGUGGAAGAAGAAAAAUAGAAAAUACAUGAUGUGAAAAUGAAACAGAGGCUUUAAUUUACUAUCAUCAUUUGUAAUCUCCUUCCAAAGGAAUAAAUGUGCACAUUAACACACAAAUAGUUCACAAUAGAUUCAGAAAAUUGAAACUUAAAAUACUGUUUAAUUUGGAAAAUUAAAUAAAUAAAGGAAAAUUCCUGCAGAUGUUCUACAAAUAGAGAAAAAGAGAAAGUAGGCCCAAGGGAUAUUUCAGUAUGUUUGCUACUUUAUUAGUAAAAUUAAUACUAGUGGUUUCAAAAAGACCACUCACACACAAUUCCUCUUUUAAUUAGAAUCUGGGCUUUAAAUUAUACAACAAAUCUUUUGCUUAGCUGAAAUUUUAAUUUUAAUUUGCAGAAGGGCAGGGAUUGCUACCUACAGGUAACUCCCUAUAAACAGAUUUAGUUGUGUGUGAAAUGGGUAACAUUAAACAUGUGGGACUAGGCUUAAUAAGUGCCUAGUCCAUAAAAGGAAAUCAUAUGUGGCAGAAAAUAUAGGCGCCAAUGCCCAUUCCAGUGCUUGGAAAAGUGUGCUGUGAAAUGGUGUCAAAGCAGAUAGACAGAAACCGCAGGUGACACAAAUACCCCAGAUAUUUCUCCUUGCACGAGCUGGCCAGUUCAAGAACAUCUUCUGAAGAUGCCAUCUGUAUAUUCUUUAGAGAAAAAGAGUCACUGUCGUCACAGAGUCCCCUUCUGUACAAUAAACUAAUGGCAAAAGCACUUAUUUGGCAAAGUUCAGUACAUUGGACCUUAAGUCUCUGAAGGUGUGUAACAAACUACAGGCUGCUGAAUGUGGAAACAGGAGUUUAUGAUUCACUGGGUCAAAGAGACGAAGUGUUACAGAAGAGAAGUGCUAAAGAAGAAGAAGACUAUUGCUGUGAGGUUAGACUUUAAAAGUGUUUUUCAAAUGUUACAGAAAGCACAGUAAUAUUCUGUCUCCCCAGUCAUGCAAUAUGCAAAGAUUUUGUGAGCAUUUUGAGUUCAGGUGAGCAUUUUCAAAAAGGGUUUAUCUUCAGUUUAUAAAGGCUAAUGAUCUAUUUCCGUAAACAGAAAAUCCACUGAAAAAUGGGCAGUAAAAACACAAGAGGCAAGAAAGGACGAAAGUACAGGGUAGGAAAGAUAACAUGAGAAAGAUUAAGGAAAGCCGUGUAGAAAGACAAAAGAGGAUGAAGCAAAGAAGCAAAAUACAAUCAUCUUUUAUUUUCUGACAUUAGCUUCCUGGUAGAGUGACCUUUGCCUUUUUCCAUCUCUCCAUUCAGUACUGUUUUCACUUUUUUGUUUUAAGUCAACUUUUUGUCUCCUACUUCUUCUUGUCUUGUUUUGCUCUCCUAACAUUGUCCUUCAGUCAGUAGGAGGCUACAGAUGGACCAUGUCUGUCUAUCUCCCAAUAUGUUAUGCCAUUACAGGGCUAUUUCCUUCCAGGAAUCAGAGUGGGUGAUGAUUGGAAUCCUACUGUCUGCAGGGCAUCAGCCAGGGAAAAGGAGAGCUGGAAGUGUGAAAGAAUGACUGGACAGGAUCAGUGGGCUUAAGAAUAAUUAAGUUUCUCUUGGCAAAGUGCCAGAACCACAGGAAGCAAACCAGAGGACCAGAGGCACAGAAACUGAUAAGAAUGAACCACACUUUUCACAAGGAUAGCUGAUUAUUUUUAUAAUUUAUUUCUUAAAAUAAUUUUCCUCUUUUGGAUUUUAGACAAAGUUGUAGUUGCUGCCUCCAAGACUUAAAGUAGAAAUUCCACACUGCUCCACAGCUUUUUCCGAAUCCUGUAAGAAUGCAAAAUUGGUGCAUUUCCUAGAGUUUACCCAUGGUAUUCAUUUCAGAAGAGCUUUCUCUUUUUAGGCUGAAAUCUGGAAUGCAAAGAAGUAUGCACAUUGUUUCAUAUAUAUACACAUUUAUUUUUUCAUAUGGAAAGAUAAAUAAUCAGAACAUGUUGAUCCCUUGAGAAGAUAAGGUUUUUGAGUAAAUAUUCAACUGUCAUAGCAUUAGAUGUGCUGAAACAACAUCAGUUGAAUAUAGCAGACCACCCAUGCUCACUUCUAGGGAGUUAAUAGCAGUGGAUAGGAACUUGUUUGAUAAGAAGGCUAUUCAUAGAGGCCAUCAACAUCAGGCAGGACAUCUGACUGCUUCAUGGUCUGUACAGAGAAAGCCAUAAAUGUUUAGAAGUUUUCCUAUGCAAAUAUUACAGAGAGCAGAAACUUCCUCAAUUUAUUUUCACCUAUCUUGAAAAUUUAAACCCUUUCUUUACCGCUGUGGAGCAAAAUCCUCCAUGAUCUACAUGAGCAGAUAACCAAGGAUCAACAAAAUAUCUCAGCCGUGAAACAUGACAAUCUUUGAAUGCAUCCCCAGGAAAUAUUUGCUUAGGGAAAAAACCCAACAGUUAACCUCAAGCAAGCAAAUCUCUCACAAGGAGUCAUUUUCAUUUCCCAUGUUCCCCAAGCACUGUGAUAUGAAGUCUUUGAAAUGACAGUAGCUGCAGAAGGCAGGGGCUCAGGAAGAGAACAUGUCCCAGGGAUAUGCUGUGGCUCCAGCAGCUGUGAGGGAAGCAUCAGCUUAGAAAACAGCACCCAACACAGCACCUCUGCCACAAGCAUCAAAUGGAAGAAGGCAAAGCUAAUUCCCAAAAAGCCAGCCAUCUACAAUCAAUGCACUUACCAGCAACUUGUGUCUUUUUCUUGUUAGACAGCUUCUGAAUCUAGACUGCCUCUUCAAAGUUCACCUUGCACAACAGCAUCUGAAUGGCAAGCAAAAGAAAAGGAUAUAAGAAAAUGCAGCUAUUGUCAGAAAUGGAGACAACUGCAAAAGUGGGUCAUGAGAGUAUUCUACAGCAGAAGCUCUAAAUCUGUGAAGCUGGUCAAAAAGUAAAUUAACUCUCAGCAUUUACCUGCGACAAUUGCCCAUCUGCACACUGAUUUCAAAGCUGUUUCAACAUGCAGAUUCAUAGAUUUUAAAUUCAGAUGGCUCUGUGGUGAUCACCUGGUCUGAAGUACUGUGUUAUACAUGCCUUAGGACUCACUAAAAAAAAAAAUCCUUCUUUACACCCCUACAUCAGUAUUUGAAAUACACGAUGUAUUAAAAAAAAUCAAUCAUAUUCCCAGAGGUAGAGAAUUUAUCAUAAGCCCUGUGUGUUGAACUUCAGUAACUAUCCUCAUUGUUACAAUACUUCAAUUUUAUUUCUGAUCUGAAUUGCUCUAUCUUCAGCUUCCAGCAAUUAGUUCCUGUCUGAGGCACUUUGUGUCUGAUUUGAUUGCCCUGUAUUACAAAUUUCAGCUUCCCACCUAGAUUGUCAAAGACUUCUCUUGCAUUCAUAUUGCAUAUCAUUUGCAUGUGAUCAGGAGAUAGAAAGAAAGAUCUAUGAUGUAUAUAUUAAAAAAUAUAUAUAUUUCAAGACCAAUUAAUAACAUAUCGCAGGAUAGAUGUAUUUUUUUUCAGAAUGAACAUUAAUAGUCCUCUCUCCUAAACUGCACAGGUCAGAUUUUGCUUGCUGCUGGCAAUUAGUAUAGUGAUUGCUACUGUGUAGAACAGUCUAACAUUCUUUCUCUUGAUGGCAAAAAUCAGAUUGUAUUAAUUCUUGAGAAAAAUGACGUAAGUUAAAAAGGCAAAAAACACAAGUCAAAAACCUUAUAAAUUUGUCUGACUACUAGAUUAUAUUUCACCAUCCAUAGCAGAAAAUAAAUAUGUAACUCGGAAAAUAACAAGAGACACAAAUCUGGCCUCCCAGAGCUAUUAGCCAUUUAGUUCUGAGCAUAACCUCAUUUAUUUUUGUAACCCUUAAUUUGAUUUCAAAAGAAAUGUAUGAUAGUGUAGCUAAUUUCACCCUUAUAUCCAAGCUAAUUUGCCUUGCCUUUACAUGUAACAUUAUGUAGCUGAAAAAGAUCAUUUUAUUUGGAUAGAGUUAUGGCAAAACUGCUUAUUGUAUUCUGCAUGUGUACUGGGUGUUUUCCCUGCAACUUAGAACCAACUGAUUCCAGGUCCAUUUUCCAGGUCCGAUCCUAUUCCAUUCUAUGCUGUCUAGCGACAACAACGUUGAAGGGUUUAGGAACUGCAUUAAAAUACUCCCAGGUGAGAGGAGAAGCACUUUGCAGCCUCUGUCAGAAACCAAAACAGUUACAGAAAAUACAAGGCAGAGCAAAACCAAGCCCAGUAGAAUUACUCAUGUAACCAUCUUAAUAAAAUUGGAUCUUCUGAAAUUACUUUGGAUUCUUUUGGAUGAAGUGAGAUAUGUUCAGGUAAAUGUGAAUAUUAUGGAAUUUUUUUUUUUCUGGAUGAUUCCAAAAUACUUUUGAUAGUGCAAUGGUAAAAAGUGAGUAAAUUCACUUGUUUGAUGCUCAGGGCUAAACAGUGGAAAAUACGUAAAUUCUAUAUUGUCCAGGUCAAGAG